UACGUAGGGGGCUAGCGUUGUCCGGAAUCAUUGGGCGUAAAGCGCGUGUAGGCGGAUGUGUCAGUCAGGGGUGAAAUCCCGGAGCUCAACUUCGGAACUGCCUUUGAUACAGCACGUCUUGAGUCCGAUAGAGGUGGGUGGAAUUCCUAGUGUAGAGGUGAAAUUCGUAGAUAUUAGGAAGAACACCGGUGGCGAAGGCGGCCCACUGGAUCGGUACUGACGCUGAGGUGCGAAAGCGUGGGGAGCAAACAGG
rnacentral:rRNA from 1 species